rnacentral:rRNA from 1 species
AGGCGCGAAAACUUUACAAUGCGAGAAAUCGUGAUAAGGGAACCCCGAGUGCCCGUAAAUUCGGGCUGUCCAUCAGUGUAAAUAACUGGUGAAGAAAGGGCCGGGCAAGACCGGUGCCAGCCGCCGCGGUAAUACCGGCGGCUCGAGUGGUGGCCGCUAUUACUGGGCUUAAAGCGUCCGUAGCUUGGUUGUUAAGUCUCCUGGGAAAUCCAUCGGCUCAACCGAUGGGCGUUCAGGAGAUACUGGCAACCUAGGGACCGGGAGAGGUGAGAGGUACUCCAGGGGUAGGAGUGAAAUCCUGUAAUCCUUGGGGGACCACCUGUGGCGAAGGCGUCUCACUAGAACGGCUCCGACAGUGAGGGACGAAAGCUGGGGGAGCAAACCGGAUUAGAUACCCGGGUAGUCCCAGCUGUAAACGAUGCGCGUUAGGUGUAUCGGUGACCACGAGUCACCGAGGUGCCGAAGGGAAACCGUGAAACGUGCCGCCUGGGAAGUACGGUCGCAAGGCUGAAACUUAAAGGAAUUGGCGGGGGAGCACCACAACAGGUGGAGCCUGCGGUUUAAUCGGACUCAACGCCGGGAAGCUCACCGGAUAAGACAGCUGGAUGAUAGCCGGGCUGAAGACUCUGCUUGACUAGCUGAGAGGAGGUGCAUGGCCGUCGUCAGUUCGUACUGUGAAGCAUA